rnacentral:rRNA from 1 species
GACGAACGCUGGCGGCGUGCCUAAUACAUGCAAGUAGAACGCUGAAGGAGGAGCUUGCUUCUCUGGAUGAGUUGCGAACGGGUGAGUAACGCGUAGGUAACCUGCCUGGUAGCGGGGGAUAACUAUUGGAAACGAUAGCUAAUACCGCAUAAGAGUAGAUGUUGCAUGACAUUUACUUAAAAGGUGCAAUUGCAUCACUACCAGAUGGACCUGCGUUGUAUUAGCUAGUUGGUGAGGUAACGGCUCACCAAGGCAACGAUACAUAGCCGACCUGAGAGGGUGAUCGGCCACACUGGGACUGAGACACGGCCCAGACUCCUACGGGAGGCAGCAGUAGAGAAUCUUCGGCAAUGGACGGAAGUCUGACCGAGCAACGCCGCGGGAGUGAAGAAGGGUUUCGGAUCGUAAAGCUCUGUUGUAAGAGAAGAACGAGUGUGAGAGUGGAAAGUUCACACUGUGACGGUAUCUUACCAGAAAGGGACGGCUAACUACGUG